rnacentral:lncRNA from 1 species
CUCGCAUGAGAAUUGUAGCAAGAAACCCGGUCAAGAGGAGAACUGUCACGCAUGAAUUUAUAAUUGAGAACCAAUGGAUCUCCAAAUGAUGAGGCAAGGAUGAGGACUGAGAAUACUUAUCCAUCCUCUUAUCGAAAGGAGUGGUUGUUUCCUUCCACUCCACAGUAUACAUGAAUUCAACAUCAACUUCUCUAUCCUUUGUAAGGUCAACCAGUGCAUUUGGAUCUGUUCGAACAUUCACUUCAAUCACGCGGUCCUUGUUAUAAUAGAGAUCAAAAUGAAUGUGCUUAUAAAGGUAGGUCUUGUACUCGCUCGGGUCUUUGCCUUCCUUGUCAACCUUCCCUAUGAAACCCCAAAUGGGCAAGUCAUCAUAAUACAUCUGGAAGUAAUAGUCCUUGUUGACAGCAGAUCUGAACCGGGCUACUUCUUCCUUUGUGAGUGAUUUCUUGCAAGCUACUUCGGUAUCUUUAUGCCUUAGGAACUCAAGUUUGUAAGGGGCACUGACUAAACGAUCUCCAUUCAAUACUUCACCAAGAGCUUCCCUUUUCUCUUUCACCGCAUCUGCAAUUAGGAUCCAAAUAAUUAGGUAAAUUCAAUUCAUCGGAGAACAUGAACACGUAUUGUGAAGGAAGUAAAUAUGAAAGGAACGAAUCGAUUUGAUACAAACCUCGUGAGCAGAAUGGGAGAUCAAAGUAUCGGUACGUUUCACUGGAAGCACCCAAAAAAAACAAAAAGAACAAAAAUUUAGACCAUCAGGAACACCAAAUUUCCACCACAAUCAAACUAACAUACAAUUUAUUAUCUAGUUUAGCAAAAACAGAGUUAAGCUUCGAAGAACAAUACACAUGCAAUUUCGACGAAAACGAAAACACAGGUUGACUAAAGAACUUGAUGGCAAAUGACUAAGAACCCAAAUCAAAUCUUUCAAAAACAGAUCAAGCUCGGAUAUUUACACAUAGCCAAUGAAAAUUCAAUUUCCAAAUCACAAUGUCUAGCUUAUACCAGCUGAACCAGAACUUGUAAAUCAUGCAAAUUUUCUCAGUAACCAAACAAAUGGGUGGGAAUAAACCCAGAUCCAUAACAAUUAACAGUGAAAUGAACAAACCCAGAAGCUGAAUGGAGCUAAGAAAGCAUGGAACUUUGAGAUCGAGCAGGGUGGAGUGUUGGGGUUUUACCUGGGGUUGUGAAACGGGCCGACCUUGUUGGCAUACAGAGGGACAAAAUCUCCUUCCUUGUACCGAUGAUCCGACCCGUCGGACCUGACUAGAUCCGCACCGGAAAGAAUUAGCAAGGCGACGAUGCAGUGUACUCCCACCGCCAUGGUCUUCCUCAUUCUCUCUCUCUCUAAUCUCUGGAGAGAAAAGACAACCACGUUCAGUAUAUACAUAUAUAUAUUUGAUUUGAUUUCCUGGGUCUGGUUUGGGUCAUUGGCUUAUAUAUUUAUUUGGGGUUUAAUUAAAUAUUAAUAUUAAUAUUGUCAUUUAAUUAAAUAAAAACUAACGAAAAAUUCAAAAAAAAAAUUAGUUUUAAUAAAAAAUGAUAAACAAAUGUGUGGUAAAUAGUAUCAGAAAAAGGUAAAAAUGUGAUUUUUCGUUAAAAAUAAACAGUACCGGAAGUGUUUUGUUAAUACACCCUUUAAUUAAAUGUGUUAAGCUUAUAGACUUGGAAUUUUUUUCUAUGUUGUAUGUUUAUUUACUAAAAAAUUAGAAGGCAGAGAAUUAAUAAUCACACACUAUUUUGUACAUUUAAUAUGUGUACAAAAUUUAAUUUAUUUAUUCAAUUCGAUAACUAUAAAUAAAAAAGAAUAUACAAAAAAAAUAACCAUAAAAAACACGUUUUUAAUAUUAUAAUUUGUAAUCAAAUGCUUGAAAAUUAUGAAACAUAUCAAUUGGGGGCUUGUGGUGGCAAGGUUGUCUUUGACAUGAAAUUAAGAUAAUGUAAAUUUUUCUUUUGUAUCUUUUAUGAUUUAUGAAUUCUCUCAUUUAAAGAACGUAUUUGUAAUAAACAUGUUUGUGUUGAUUUUUUUUCUUGCACACACAAAAUCAAGAAAAUUUUCACUUCCACAACGUAAUUAGUAAUUCAAUACUUAAAAAAUUAUGUAAUUAGUGGCGUGGUGGUCAUGACCUUCAACUUCAACUUAGUGUAAUAAUAUGGAUAGGAACAAAAUUAUAAACUCAAUUGAAUUGAAAUUAUUAAAUCACAUUACCAGUAAAUAAACAUUUUAUUAAUAUUCAAACAAAAUAAUUAUUAGUUAAUGUGGAAAUAAUUUGUUUUGUUUUAAUGUGAAACAAAAAAGAGGCGAACAAAGGUGACGGAGACGGAGUGCCUCACCACGUCAUGAGAUGUUUGAUGCCUUACUGACGUUUUGGUACCUACGUUAUGCCGUAGGGUGCGUCUCACGCUUCUAGGAGUGGGCACUUAGAACCGAAAACCGAAGCCGAAACACGAACCAAAUCGAACCACACCGAACGGUUUGGUUUGCGGUUUUGGAACGGUUUCGGUUUUGAAACCGAACCGCAACAUAGAAAACGGUUUGGUUUCGGUUUUGGCUUUUGAAAACCGCACCGAAACCGAACUGCACCGCAAAUAUUAAUAAACAUUUAAUUAAAUGUCCAUAUUAAAUUUCAUGUUUUAAUUGGUUGUUUGUUAGAAUCCAUGCACUUAGUAUGGACACAACCACACUAGAAUAUCAUCAUUCAUCACUUUCUUUCGUUCAUUAACUUGAAGGACCUUUGUUAUUUUAUAACAUCACACACACACAUAUAUGUACAAGGGUGGACUAAUCUUGUUAUCAAGAGUCAAACAAUGAUCUAAUGAAGUCCACUCAUUUGAAGCAUCAUAUCACAUAUUAUAGUAUGAAAGUUUCGUUCAUGUUUAAUGAAUUCAAAGUUAUUCAACUUGUUUUAUGUUAUACCUUGUACGGGACACCCUUUGUUGCACAAACAUAUUUUAACAUCACAACUGCAUGCAACAUGCUAAUUGUUUAUAUAACAAAUGUCUUUUUCCUAUUGCUACUGGGAAAUGCUUAUUAAUAUGUUAAAUUGCAAAUUUACAUUUUUUCUUAAAAAUCAAACUGAAACCGUUUGAAACCGCACCGAAUCGAACCAAACGGUUUGGUUUCAUUUCGGUUUUGGCUUCAAAACCAUACCGAACCAAACCGCAAAAAACUUUGGUUUCGGUUUUGGUUUCACUCAAAACUGCACCGAACCAAACCAUGCCCACCCCUACACGCUUUUUUUAAUUUAAUUUCUUCGUUCUUUCUCUGUCUACGUGGUGGCACGUGAUUGGGGGGCUUUGCGGGAGUGAGGAAUCUGGUGGUUUGGUAGUCAACGCCUUGGGAUGAUUCCUUGGCUUCCUCCCUCCCUAUUCGGAUCUGAAUUCCCCACUUGGGCACGUAGCAAUGUGGGUCCACUUUCUAGCAAUUUAGCGUUGAUCACAAAAAUAACGCUACAUGAGAAAGUUUCUAUUAUGACCAAAAUCCGGGUGCAUCACGUGUUUUUAUAUAAUGGUGGAAAAUUUUAUUUUUUAAGUUAUUAAAUUUUUAACAUACAUAUCUCAUAAUUUGUAGUAACACGUGAUAUAUCAUCAUGUGUUCUUGUCACAUUGAAAAGUCUCUCACACUACACUCCAGGCCUAACGAAGGAUUAUGAGCUCACAUUUCUUCCAACGUUGGAGGGCCCAAUUUUGUCUGAAGGGAAAAUGAGAAGCCUAAAUUCCUUUCAAAUUGUACUUUAGGUAAUUCCGUGUACAUUGGAGGCCGCACAACAAAUUAAGAGCCAAAAUGGAUGGAAUGCAUGAUGUACUCAUAUUGUGUCUCAAAUAAUUGAAAUAGGGUCACCUACAACCAUCAGGGGAUGGUUCAGUGGUUGGAGAAUAAUUUCAAACUUGCAUUUUACACGACACGUUCUAAGUUUGAUUUCUAACACUAGUGAAUCACAUAACGGUGACCCGAGAUAGACUAAAAUUAUAAUUUUAAUACUCCUAGGAGAUACCAAACCAUAGUGGCACACCCUGACCCGGAAUGUCCACUGGGACUCCAAAUUGAGCUGUGCUGACCAACACCGGGAAGGUGACGAAGCCAUAAGUAUAAUGAUGUGGAAAAUGUGAAUAAAUUUAAACCUAAAAGUACCUAAAGACAAGAGUGCGAUGUGAGCGAGGAUGAACUCAUUUCACACGUGACAUCAGAGCAUAAGUAAAGUACAGUAGUGUGGAUAAGGAUCAUACCCUCAUAAGUAACCACCUAUACUGAGAUUUGCCAAGAAUCCUUGUCGAUACGAACUUUUAGCAACUAAAAACUGGAUGGGCGCAAAAACAAGAGUGAGUGGGCCUGAAAAUAAAGUUUUUAAUAAAAACCUUUUGAAAACGUUAUAACCUCUUGCUGUAAAACCCGUAUAAUUUCCCAAAAAAUAAUAAUACAUAGGUAUAUAGAAAUCAUGCUCGAGAGUAGUGAAAACCAAGUAUAUGCCAUGUCAAGUAUGCAAUGAAACAAGUAAGACAAGUAAAAUAAAUCAAUGUAAAAUGAUAUGCCAGGCGGAGUCACAUAAUGUGACCUGUACGGCUGAACCUAUAGCUCAUUAACCAAUUCUUGCACACGAGUUAUAACCACCUAAUGUUGUCUAUAUGACAUGCUGGGUGUAAAUAAAUACGCUUAAGUGCUACGAUCACGUGAAGGCUGUGCGAAGUAUCGCAAGUCACAUACGAAUUGGAACCACCUAAUGUGGUCUGUACGACAGACUGUCACCUAUUUUGGAUCCAAGGUGAGCAUACAGUGCGGAAGGUGAACAAUCACAUGAAGGUUGGCCCUAGCCUCGGGUGGAGUACUAACACCAGGGUGCAGUAUAAUAAGCACUAAAUGCAUCUAAACAUAACCAUACACAUUGCAAUCAUUAUCAUCUAUCUGUACUCACAUGAAUCUUACCUAGGCGUCCACAACAUCAUGCAAUAAUAAGCAUAUCUAUACUAAUGUAUAUACUAAAAUAUAAUGCAAUUGACAUGACAUUUAAAAACGUAAAUCCAUUUAAAACAAUUUUUUGGGAAAAUAGAAAACAUAUAUACGUAUAUAUAGAAAACCAAAAGCCCAGUCACUUGGAGUAUGCGUUACAACUCCCUAGCACAAAUAUCAAGGCGUCACGAACGAUCGGCGCCUAGAACAAUUAUCAAAUCAUGUCUUAGAAUUCUUAUCAAUAGAACAUAUAACUUACGUAUCCUAUUCGGGAAGAUCCGUACGUCGGAUUCCCAAUCUGUAAGUUUCUAAUAUCCUCAAAUAUUAUGUAUUAUAAUGUAUCAAAGUUGGGUGAUGAUUAAACGGUUGAAUCGUCGAUUUAUAGAAUUAUCAAGUAACACACCUUAAUCAAACUAGAUUCACAAUACUCAAAUCACAUCAUAUGGAUAUCAAAUAUGAAAUCAGGAUAUCAAUUUAGUGUAAAAAUAGCAUCGGUGGCCCACUGGCCACGCGUCACCACAAGUGGCGGUCAGCUGUCAUGACUUACCGGAAAAUUCAACUAUUUCUAAAAAUUACCAAAUUUUAUAAGAAUGAAUAUCUCAAUGAGUGGAGCAACUUUCAUACCUAUGACUAAGGCCAAUUUGGCCGGCAAAAGCCUCAAUUUCAUGAAAACCCGCUGGAAACCCUUAAAAUUGGGUAGUUGUUGAUUUUCCACCAAAACGAACUCCGACGCCUUCGCCAAAGCUUGGGCUUUGCUCCUGGGGUUGAGAGGAGUCUUUUAGUGUUGAUCAUCGACGGUGAAACUCGCCGGAGUCACCAGAAAAAAGGUUAAAACUGCAGGAUGCCCCCGUGGGUUUGUGGCUUCAAUUUGUGAAUUUGGGUAAGAAAUUUGGGAAUCUAACACUACAAAGAUGUAAGGCUCAUCAAGGGCUUUCCAUGGACACCAAGAUCACCCAAAACAGGGUUUGUACGAAGGAGAUAUGAGAGGAUCAAGUUGGCAGGUCAGGUGGAGAAACCGGGUUUGGUCGGUUCUCUCCUUCUCCCUUCCCUCAUUUCCCCUUUCUCUAUUCUCUAAUUGGUCACCGCUCAUCUCUUCUUUUCUAAUUAGUCCGGUCCCUCCCUCAUUUCUCUCCUUUAUACUCCAUCUCCACUGCCCAUCCUUUAUGCCCUUAAAUAUGGGCCACACAUGACUUUCUAGAUUAAGCUAAAAAAGUCUAGAGCUUUCUAGAAAUAAUUAAUUUACUAAAAUGCCCCGACUUUAAACAUUAAUAUCUCCUUCGUUAUAACUCCAAAUUGCGUUCGGUUUGCAUCCACGCGUUUGUAGCAAUGAGUACUACGAGGAUAUGCCAAGAAAAUGAGUCUGACAUGAAAUGACAAGGCAAUCAACAAGAGUCAACGCAUUUGCCUCAAAGGGCAUUUUCGUAAAUUCACUUAUUAAAAUUAUAUAAACCGUAAAAAUUAGGAACGGGUCAUUACAAUAGACAACUUAGAUACUGCCGUAUAAAUACUAUGCAUUCAAAAUUACUAUUAUUAUUUAGUAAUUCAAAAUACUUUUUUUUUCUUUUUCAAAAUAGUUAUUACCCACUUUUUUUUCUCUUUCAUGUAAUUCACUAGGAAGUUUUGUAUGAAUUUACUAUAAUUAUUUUAUUGUUUGUUUGAUAAUUAUACUUUUAACAAUAGCUCAUUAAAUUGUGUUUAAAAUUAUUGAAAACGCUUUUAAAAUAACUUAAAGUGUUUUAAAAUGACUACUUGCAAAUCUUAAACAAAAAACACUUUUAAUCAUUUUAAAAAUACUUUCAAACAAUUUGUGUCUUCCUCUAUAACCCACCAUAUUCUAAAAAAAAAAAAGGACUAUUUAGUGGCUUCGUUAUUGCAGUUCACCAUUCCGGCGGUUGGAAAGACUCACAAAAGCAUUUUAGCCUCCCCUGAUCACUAUUUUGCGAUUUACUAACAACAAAAAUCUAACCCUCUACUAUAUAUAAAUUAGUAUAAAAUUCUUAUUCUUAAUAAUUUAUGCAACAAAAAUUUAUAUGACAAAAGUUGUAUUUUGUUAUCAAAUGAUCGCAUAAGAAAAAUAACAAUAAACGAGAAUAGUGACAUAUUAAUACUUUUUAUGGUCAUAAAAAUGAGAGUAGUGAGUGGAAUAUAUUCAAGUUAUUCCCAUGAGCAUCAAAAUCUAAAACUAAACGAAGCUUUUGGUAUUUGGACCACCUCCACCUCGAUUCAGGAGACUACGCCUCCCUCCUCCCAAAAGCCUACAAAGACGAGAAACAAAAGAAGCAGCGGCGCCGGCAGCAACCGGUCACUCCCAUUCCCACCAGGUGCCUUUCUUCUCUUCCUCCGCCGCUCUCUUAUUUAUCCAACAACCGUUUCUUUUUUCUAAUUGCAAGUUUCAACCUUUUUUUGUCCCCUUCUCCGAUGCCCAGAAAUCAUUUUCCCCCAAAAAAUCACGGGUUUAAAUUAAAAAUCAGAUCUUGAUUUUCUCUGGCCGAGAAAUAGUCUAGUGUUUUGUUGCAACGGCUAUGAAAGUUUCGUGGGAUUUGAAUCCCACCCCGCGAACUUGUAAAUCUGUUGGGAUUUUAAGGGUUUGUAAAUUUUGAUUUGUGGGAUUUGGGAAUCGCAGUCUGCCUGUAAAUGCCGGAUCCACGUUGAGAAUGCGCGGUUACGGGAUGGAAAAUCGUGCCUGUACUCUCAUGUGAUGCAUUUUUACAACUUGGGUUUUGAAUUUUUUCUGGGAAAAGUUAAAUUGUUUUGCUUUGUUUGGUUGCUCGGAAAAUGUGGGAGAAAGGAAAAGAAUUUUUUUGAUAUUCUGAAUGUUCCAUUUUUUUCAUUGUUCAGGACAGUAGAAGACAAAAUGGCACCAGUCGUUGAGCUUAAUACAAGGUAACUUCUUAACUUUAUUUGGAAGGAAGGAAUGUCAAGUUCGUUUCCUUCAUUUAAUUUUUAGAAAAUCUGUUAUGUUUUUUCACUUUCUUAGCAAAGUGGGGCAAACUGGAAGAUGGGUUUUUGAACUUUUGUUUAGGAUGAGCUUUUGUUAAUGGUGUGUUCUCAGGAUUGGUGGGUGCUUGUUUUUUGAUGCAUGCUUGUAGGUUUUAGGAGGCUGAAAAUGGCCGACUCAAAGUCCGUUGACGUUAUUCUGGACUUUCUGCGGAAGAAUAGGUUUUCAAGGGCAGAGGCAGCUCUUCGAAGUGAGCUUGGUAAUCGUCCUGAUUUGAAUGGUUUCCUUCAGAAGCUUACUUUUGAGGAUAAGGAUUCUAGUCAUUCGUCGGAAGCUGAAAACAGGGACAAGCUAGUGGUGGAAAAUCAAGGCUUGGGAUCUCGGAAUGGUGAUGAAGUUUCUCAGGAACUUAUAGUGAAAGAGAUUGAGUGUGGAACUGGUAGAAAUGGGUCUGAAAGCAAAUGGAAAAAUGCUACUUCUAUUGGGGAGUGGAAUAAAUCAGUUGAUGUGGCUGGGACAAAUCACAAGAGCUUUGCAUUCUCUAAAGGUUUAGAGGAGACCGUGCUUGAUUUAUAUUCUUGGCAGUCCAGUCCGAGCAAUGGACCCGCAGAACCUUAUCAAAGUGAUGGUGGUGGUAUUAUCAGCAACUUCCCAGAGCCUCAAAUAUCCCAGCAAUCAAAGAAUCAUACAACUGAAGUUCCCAAUUCAGGUAAAGCCAUUUUGAAAUAUGGAGAAGAGAUCAGCUUUUCUGGUGAAAAGAAAACCUCAUGGUCUGGAAGUACUAGCAAACCUAGUGUGGAAUUCAAGUAUGACAGAACCCAAACAAGCGAACCUAAGGAACUUGACCGACAACUUAAGACGAGUACCGCGUUCUUCAAAGAAAAUGCAGAAGAGUUUUGCUUUUCUGGUGAAAAGAAAACCUCUUGGUCUGGAAGUACUAGCAAACCUAGUGUGGAAUUCAAGUAUGACAGAACCCAAACAAGUGAACCUAAGGAACUUGACCAACAACUUAAGACGAGUACCACAUUCUUCAAAGAAAAUGCAGCAGAGAAUCCUUGGCCAAGAAUCGAAGAACCAACAAAUCCACCUUCAGAGAUGUGGAAAGAUUGUUCUGUCAAGACCGUGUUUCCUUUCUCCAAGGGUGAUGUGUUAACGAGUUAUGAUAGUGCUUCUGGUUCUGACAAAAAAGAAGGAAAGAGAAAAAAUGAGUUGACUGAUAUUAGGGCAACAAUAAAGGAGCAGGUUGAUGAGGUGGGAAGAGCUUUAUACUUAAGCCAGUCACAAGGGAGUUCUGAGCAAAAGACCAUUAGUAAUUUAAUUUUUCCUAUUUUGUCUGAGAAUCAAAAGGAAGAGUUCCCUAGGCUGCCACCAGUCAAACUCAAGUCAGAGGACAAACCAUUGAAUGUUAAUUGGGAGGAAAAGUUUGAGCGAGACGGACCUGGCCCAAAACUCAGCUCUGCUGACAAUGCUCUUCUUAUUGGGUCAUAUUUGGAUGUACCUAUUGGACAAGAAAUCAACUCUUCAGGUUAGUUGUUGAUACUCUUUGUUUUGUUUUAAGUAGCUAUUGUAGUCGUCAGUUUAUUUUUAUUUUCUAGGCUUUCAAGACUUAAAAUCAUUGCAGACCUUUUCAUUCUUAUAUGCUUGGAAGCUCUCUUCCUCAAUGGUCAUUUGUACUCAUUCCUUUGUUUGCUUAGAUAAGUAGAGUUUGUAUUGACCAUUCCUCAAAUUUUUGGAUUUCUGAAGUUGUUCAGAGUCAAAUUUCUUGUCACAUUGUCUUGGUUGUUUUGAUAUCUCUAGUCUUUAAUUUCUUCUUUAAAGAUUAUGGUUCAGGUGGAAAAAGACCUGUAGGAGGCAGUUGGCUGUCUGUAAGUCAGGGGAUCACAGAGGACGCAUCUGAUCUGGUUUCUGGUUUUGCUACCGUUGGUGAUGGAUUGAGUGAAACGAUUGACUACCCCUAUUGGGACUCUGAUGAAUAUGAUGAUGAUGAUGAUGUUGGAUACAUGAGACAACCUAUUGAAGAUGAGGCAUGGUUUCUGGCCCAUGAAAUUGAUUAUCCUAGUGACAAUGAAAAGGGAACAGGUCAUGGGAGUGUUCCAGAUCCACAGGAAAGGGGCCCAACCAAAGAGGAGGAUGAUGAUCAAUCUUUUGCUGAGGAGGAUUCUUAUUUAUCUGGUGAGCGAUACUUUCAAGCGAAAAAUGUUGAACCAAUUAUAACUUCAGAUGAUCCUAUGGGAUUAUCAGUGACUGAAUUGUAUGGGAGAACCGAUGAGAAUGAUCUGAUAGCUCAAUAUGAUGGACAGUUGAUGGAUGAAGAGGAGCUUAAUUUAAUGCGUUCAGAACCUGUCUGGCAGGGCUUUGUCACUCAGACCAAUGAACUCAUCAUGUUAGGGGAUGGGAAAGAUGUGAAUGAGAAUGGAAGGCCAUGUCUGGAAGAGGUUUGUGUGGAUGACGACCAGCUUGGUUCAGUAAGAUCAAUAGGUGUGGGAAUCAAUAGCGAAGCUGCUGAUAUCGGCAGUGAAGUACGGGAAAGUUUGAUUGGAGGCAGUAGUGAAGGGGAUCUAGAAUACUUUCAGGACCAUGAUGUAGGAAUUGGUGGGCCACGGAAGAAUCAUCAGGACUCAGAUAAGAAACAUAUUGAUAGACUUGAGAAGGACAAGAAGAAAACUAGUAAACAUGAGGCAAAUAAAUAUACAGUUGAGAACAAUGAUGGUGCUUUUAGACAGAAGAAAAUUCAUUCAGAAGGGGGAUUUUCAUUCCCCCCACCACUGAGAGAUGGGCAAUUGGUGCAGGCAAGCUCUAGUAAACCUUUAUGGUCGAACAACUGCAAUGCUGUUGUAACUGAAGAACCUGAUGAUGAUAAAAUGCUUGCUUCGUGGAGGGAGAAAAGUAACGAGUCCUCACCUAGAAUGAGUUCUAGGGAUGAAAAUAAUGCUAAUGCUGUUAGAUCCACAAACUCGACUCCCUCAACGCUCUCUAAUUAUGCUUAUGCUGAAAGAGAGCAUGCCAAGCAAGAAGAAGAUGAGAAAAUUGCUGCUGUUAGGGAGGAAGAUAGGGGGGCAUCACUUGAGGAUGAAGAGGCGGCUGCUGUGCAAGAGCAAGUAAGGCAAAUAAAGGCUCAAGAGGAAGAGUUUGAGACCUUCAACCUCAAGAUUGUGCACAGGAAAAACAGGCACGUCUUCACCUAUUCACCAGUCUCAAAUGUAAAUUAAUUGAUCAUGGUUCAUUACAGGAGAAUUGUGUUUCGGGUGUUGGAUUUUUCUGUUUAAACCAAUAAUACAUUUUAAAAAGCUCUGGAAACUUUUGAAACUGUAGCAUUAGACCUUUCUUCAAGAAAGAAGAAUAAUACCUUAAUUACUCCCGUCUAUCUGUCUCUCUCUCUCUCUCUCUGCCUGUCUGUCUGUCUGUCUCUCUCUCUCUCUCUGUUUCCUUUAUUUUUCUUUUCUGUACAACAUAAACAACAUCAUGACAACACAAUCCGCCUAAACUUGAAACAGCUUUCUUGUGUGAUUUCCUUUGUUGAGACAUGUACUCUUGUGAUGGACCUUAGUCUUUCUGCUUUUGCUGAUGUGAAGCUCUUCAUUGCUAUCUAUUUUAUCAUUGGCUACUUAACUUGAUUCUGACUUGAACCCCAUGUUUUUGUUCUGCAGAACUGGCUUUGAGGAGGACAAAAAUUUUCAUGUUGUUUUGAAUUCUGUGUUAGCUGGCCGCUAUCAUGUCACCGAAUAUCUUGGAUCAGCUGCAUUCAGCAAAGCUAUUCAAGCUCAUGAUCUACAUACAGGCAUGGAUGUAUGUGUGAAAAUUAUAAAGAACAACAAAGACUUCUUUGAUCAGAGCCUUGAUGAGAUAAAGCUUCUCAAAUACGUCAAUAAGCAUGAUCCUGGUGACAAGUACCACAUUCUUCGUUUGUACGAUUACUUCUACUAUCGAGUAAGUAAAUGCACAGUUUGAUAUUUACUUUAUCUUAUUUGGUAGCUUUUAUAAAACUUUGAGAUAAAUAAUUGUUUCAUAUGUGCACAUUUAUUUGCUAGAUUUGUAUGACUUGUCUUUCAUUGUCUUGUGUACCUGGGACUCCUAUGCUUGGGGGCAGUGCCUUUAUGUUAGCAUGGGGAGGGAAAAACUUGAAAUUGUUGUAUAUCUAUUCUGUGGUUAAUUAUGUUAAGAUUGAGAAUCCUUUGGGGGCAGGUUUUUUACAGUCAUUUGUAUUCCCAUCUUGCGCCUCCUGUUAGUGCAUUGGUCUUGUUUGUGCAUUUAUAAGUUACAUAUUUGUCUCAAUGAAUGUUAAUUAGAAUUUGACUUUGUGUGGUAGGAACAUUUGUUAAUAGUAUGUGAACUUCUCAAAGCAAACUUGUAUGAAUUUCAUAAGUUUAAUCGGGAGUCAGGAGGGGAGGUCUACUUCACAAUGCCACGACUGCAGGUUUGUUUGGUCCCAUUUUCUAUUUGACAACCGUUUAGUUUUUUUUUCUUUUUAUGCUGGUGGUUUAAAUUUAUUGAACAUUAUGCAGUCAAUUACGAUUCAGUGUCUAGAAGCGCUUCAGUUUUUGCAUGGCCUUGGCAUGAUACAUUGUGACUUGAAACCUGAGAAUAUACUGGUAAAAAGCUACAGUAGAUGUGAGGUCAAAGUCAUUGAUCUUGGGAGUAGUUGCUUUGAGACGGAUCAUCUCUGCUCCUAUGUUCAGUCCAGAUCCUAUCGUGCUCCUGAGGUUAUCUUGGGACUUCCAUAUGAUAAGAAGAUAGAUAUAUGGUCACUUGGCUGCAUCUUGGCCGAACUUUGUACUGGCAAUGUAAGUGCUAUGCAUCCUUGUAUGCUUAUCAUUAGAUUUUUAAUUUUCUAAUGUACUUAUUACAAACAAGGUAACUAAAUAUUGACUUUUUUGCUAUAAGCAAAAUAUUCAGUUAUCGGGUACUUGAGAUCUGUUAAUAUCCUAAUGUUAAGCUCUAACCUGACUGGUAGUUGAAGUAAAUCUCAGCUCUGUAAGAAUACUGACUUAUUUACGUGUUUGUGGCUGUCUGUGUACAUAGAGUCAUGAUUAUUAUUGUUAUCAUUCUGUAUGAUGUCUCUGGUAAGUUCUGUGGUUCAUCCGUAAAUCCAUUCGAAUUUCUAGUAGAUGCGGAGAUGAAAACCUUAACAUGGAUUCAUGAGAUAAAUGACAAAGCAAAACAAGUGUUUUUUUCACAUAUUGUUGUGCAGACUUGUCUACUCACUGAUGUUGCUAUGAAUUUUUGUUGUGUUACGAACGCUUUGAUGCCUAUAAAAUCAAUUAAAAGAACUAAGAAAAUUAUACCUGAACCACAUGCAAGAAAUGGUGUAUAACAUUGUGUCAGUAUAUCUGAUUCGGUUCUUCAUUCAGAGCUUCAGCUAUACAUAGAAUAAAGUACAUAUACUGAACAGAAAUCUUUCUUAGUACAAGUAUAUGUAAAAGCCCUAUAGAUAAACAAUGUUAUAGUUCACUUCUCAUGGGAAAAAGUACAUACUAUCCGAGUGGCUGGCCGAAAGCAUUUAAAACUGUCAUUUAGACAAAUCAAGUGUAGGCAAUAGUGUAUAAUAUUUAGUUGUCAUUAUUUUUUGGCAACGAGGAUUAGGGAUGUGUGAUUUUAUUGCCAUUUGAAACUACUACAACUUUUCUGGAAAGUAAACAAAAUCAUGAUAAUGGUGCUAAAUGUUGAAAUGAACUUACUUUGUGUAGGUACUCUUCCAGAAUGAUUCACCUGCAACUUUACUUGCACGGGUGAUGGGAAUCAUUUCCCCUAUUGAUCAAGGCAUGCUAGCGAAAGGGCGUGAUACAUACAAAUACUUCACAAAAAAUCACAUGCUUUAUGAACGGAAUCAGGUAAGCCAUACAGAUUUACUCCAUUUCAUAAAUCUUCGUAAAUUCACGAACCUGCUUUCCCCAAUUCUGUAGGGUAGUGUAUGUACAAACACUGGUAACUAGUUUACAAGGUAUUCAUGUAUUUAUUUAUCUAUCUCGUAAACAAUGCUAUUCUCCUCUGUUCUUCAGGAAACUAACAGACUGGAAUACCUGAUACCAAAGAAGACAUCCUUGAGGCACAGGCUUCCAAUGGGGGACCAAGGCUUCAUUGACUUCAUUGCUCAUCUGCUUGAGAUAAACCCGAAGAAGCGCCCUUCUGCAUCUGACGCUCUGAAGCACCCGUGGCUAUCAUAUCCUUAUGAACCUAUAUCAUCUUGAACGCUCCCACGGUCUGAAAUUCUCUUGGGAAAGACAACAUAGUGCAGUUGCGCUUGCAAUUUGGAGUUCUGGGCGUCUUAACUUAUGAAGGGGCCAACAGUUGAUUCCUCAAUGGAACUAGUUAUUUAUAUGGAUAGAUUUCGGCCCUUCACGUUGCUGCACGGUGCUUUGAAAGGUGUGUUUGGUUUUUGUUGGAAAUACCUUUCGUUCCUCCCCCCACCAAAGUUGUAUUCCAAAAUUAGCUGUAAUCCAAGAAUGUAAUUUUGCACGCACUGUAUUCUAUAGGUUCUUUCUUCGCUUUGUUUGGUCCGGUGGAGGCAGAGGAUCAUCUUGAAAUCUUCUUGUACAUGAUUGUGUGAUAUUCUUUUAGGUAAUUUAGUAGUUAUCUUGUGAAAUACUCACUGUCCAGUUUUGCUUUAGCCUUGCCACGCUACCGCUGCUUUGUAUAAGUUUUGAUCCGUAUGGCUUUGUUUUCAGUUUUCAGUUUUGGUUAUGAUAGUUUGUUGUAAUGUUAGGAGAAAUAAAAGAAAAUUGUACAAAAAUAAUUCAAAAUUUUUGGGGUGGCACUUGCUGGCUGCCACGAAGUCACACGGUGACUUUCUGCUACCCGAAGAAUUUGAAUCAAUUUGUACAUUUUUGUUAAUUUUUCUUUUACUUCUCUUACCACAACAAAAAAUUAUCAUAUUUAUGCUCUUCAAAAUAUAUUUUUCUGUGCAAAAUCUAUUAUAAUUCAUAAUUAGGCACUUGUAAUCAACGGUUUAAAACCUAAAUUUAAAGAUAUUUAUCCUCUUUUUUGGUUAAUUUUUCUUUUAUCUAAAUCAAAACUACAUAUUAAUAGAACCAUCUUUGUCAACAAUAAGAGGGUGAAAGACUAUUUAACAAAACAAAAUUUUGCUAUUUAUUGUUUAAGCCUUACGUGCUUGUGAUUUUAAUAUCUCUAAUUAAAAAAAAAAUAUAUAUAUAUAUAGACUAAAUAUACAUUUUAACAUCUCUAUAUUUUCACAUAUUUUUUUUACAUUUCAACUUAAAUAUUCUACUAAAUAUAAACUUGUUGCUCGAUAAAUCGUAAAUCUGCUUCCAAAUACAUUAUAAAAAUUUCCUUAAUGCUCAAGGAAAAUAUUUCAAGAAAAUAAAAAAUUUGCAUUUUUUAAAGAAAAACGUGGACUAACACUUACGGUUUUUAGUCGGUUUUGCAAAUUCAUACAUAAAUCACCGUUCAAUCUAUUUAUUUUCACCUUCGCCUCACUGUAAAGUUUUGAAAAUAAGGGAGACUUUCCGUUGAGAUUCUUGAGUAUAGAUCACCAUUUGGCAAUGCUCUAGGCCUCAGUAAUAUGUUUUUCAAUUUUUUUUGUAGUUUUUGACCCAAAUAUUCGACUAAAUAUACAUUUGUUGCUCAAUAAACUAUAAAUCUGCUUCCAAAUUUCUCAAACAGUUUAACUUAAUUCUUAGGUAAAAUAUUUUGCGAAAAUAAAAAGUUUGCAUUUUUGUCAAAAAAAUAUGGGUGUUAGGCGGGCUCGAUGCACGUAAAACAAGGUGGACUCAGCUCACGCAGAACGAGGUAAACCAUGGCACACAAAGAACGUAAAUAUGAUAGUUUGUUGUAAUGGUAAGAGAAAUGAAAGAAAAAUGUGCAAAAAUGAUUCAAAAUUCUUAGGGGUGGCAAAAAGUUUGAAUCAUUUUUGUUAAUUUUUCUUUUAUUUCUCAUUCCACCACAACAAACUAUCAUAUUCAUACUCUUCAAAAUAUACUUUUCUGUGCAAAAUCUAUUAUAAUUCGUAUUUAAACACUAGUAAUUAACAAUUUCAAACCUAAAUUUAAAGAUAUUUGAACAAUACUUUUCUGUGCAAAAUCUAUUAUAAUUUGUAUUUAAACACUUGUAAUCAACGAUUUAAAACUUAAAUUUAAAAAUAUUUGAACCUUUUUUUUUGUUAAUUUUUCUUUUAUCUAUAUAUAAACUACAUAUUAAUAGAACACUCUUUGUCAACCAAAAGAGGGUUAAAUACUAUUUAACCAAACAAAUUUUUUAUAUUUGUUGUUUAAGCCUCACCUACAAGUGAUUUUGACAUCUCUAUUUUUAAUAAAAAAGUAUAAACUAAAUAUACAUUUUAACUUCUCUAUAUUUUCACUUAUUUUUUUUACUUUUCGGCUUAAAUAUUUUACUAAUAUACACUUGUUGCUCAAUAAAUCGUAAAUCCGCUUUCAAAUACAUUAUAAAGAUUUCCUUAACACUCAUAGAAAAUAUUUCGAGAAAAUAAAAAAUUUAUAUUUUUUACAAAAAAACGUGGAUUAACACUCACUAUUUUAUGUCGGUUUCACAAAAAUGUGGACUGAUAGCCAUACUUUUUAGUCAAUUUUGAAAACUCGUACAAAAAUUAUCAUUAUCUCUAUUUGUUUUCACCUUCCUCUAACCAUGAUGUUUUUAAAAUUAGUUAAGGCUUUCUGUUUAUAUUCUUGUGGGUGUAACCGUUUUGGCAUUAUUUUGGAUAUCACUACUAUUUUCUUCACUUAUUUUUAAUUUGAAAUUUAAAUAUUUUAUUAAAAGUACUGUUGUGGCAUAAUAAACCGUAAAAUCAAUUCCAAAUGCCUUACAAACUUUCACUUAAUGCUCAAGAAAAUCAUAUUGCAAAAAAUAAAGGAUUUGUAUUUUUCACAACAUAUGUAAGUUUAUACACACUCACGAUUUUUAAUCAGUUUGUAAACUCUUGCUAUAAUCAUUAAAUAUGGCUGUUUUUGCCUUACCGUAACAUUUUUAAAUUAAUUUAAGGCUUUCUCGUUACAUUCUUGAGGGUGUAAACCCAUUGUUAGCAAUGGAGACACAUGGCACAGUUAUGGAGGAGGAUAAAGGUCGCAUUUGAUUAGGAGAAGUGAGCAAAACGGAUUCUUACUAGGGUAAUGUUAGAGAAGCAAAAUUUGUAAAUUAAAUGACAUAAAAAUUGAUAAUUGAAUUAUUGAUAAACGUGCUAAUUUUUUAUUGAUGACAUAUCAUUUAAUUUUGUAUAUUUUAUUUACAAAAUUUAGUCUUUCUAACAUUACCUUGAAAAAGAUACUGCAACUAAUAAUAUUGGCUCAUUGUGUUUAGUCACAACAUUUUUUUUUUGAAUAAUACUAGAGAGAUCAAAUUUGUAUACAAAAUUUACAAACUAAACUAUGUGUCACCAAUAAAAAUAAGCACGUUUACCAACGUUUAAGUAAUAAACAAAUCAACUUUUAUGUUAUUUAGUUUACAAAUUUAGUCCCUAACUCUAAGUAACAUUAGCUUUUUUUUUUUUUUUUUAAGAAUGAGAAUCCUCUCCGGAUCCUCCAAUCGUGUCCGUUGAUCAUACAUCAUACAAUCAGUUUUCAUCAGGUACUAAUCAUAUUUAAUUUUAAAUAAAAAAAUUUACAAUGAUUUUUAACCGCACGAUAUAACGGAUAUGUUUGGAAGAUUUUCAAAAUUCUCAUAAGAUCCAGAGAGGUAGGAUCCGGAGAGGAUCCUCGUUCAUAGGAGUCAAUCCCAGACCCCAACGCUUUACUGUAAAAUAUGGUGAUAUAUGAUAAAAAAAUAAAAUAAACAAAAGAGUGUUGCAAAGUUGAAUUAAGUCUACCAAAUCAAAAUAUCCCGGCAUGGCGAUGGCACCAUACCGCUUUAAUUCUUCUUGCAAGAGAAAUGGAAUGAAGCACUUACAUAGACUAGAAUUUAUUUAGUUUCAUAGUGAACAUGGCGGUUGACCAUCAAACUCGGCAAACUUUUUAUUGGUUACUGAAGAUAUAAAAAAGAAAUAUGCCACCGAGUAUCAUCUGUAGCUUGUGAGUACUGCAUUCCUUGCCUCCUGAACGAGAAGGGGGUGGAGGAGAAGGGGGUGGAGGAGAAGGGGGUGUUUGUCGCGCGGCUCUCACGGCUGGACAGGACGUUGCUCGGCAAGGCAUUCCAUCGAGACAAUUCUCUCUCACGCUGACGAAACAGUUUGAAAGAAAAACAUAUAGCCUUUUAGGAAACGUUACGUUAAAGAUAAUGGAACCAACAGAUUUCUAGCAACAUCAGAUCAAAUAAAGAACUGAAACAUAUGAAGUGGGUCGAGAAACGUUUCGCUUACUCCAAAGUAAGGUUUUUGUUGUUUAAAAGAGAGGUAGGUAUGGAUCCAGUGAGUCUGUUCCUUGACAAAUUCCUGAGAAGAAAUUGAAAAACAAAAGACAGGUGUUAUCAAAUUCCUGAGAAGAAAUUGCUAGCUACUACGGUUGUUUAAAUCAUUAAAUCAUGAAACUCACAGUAGUUUUAGAUUAGGCAAGGAGCCAAGGAAAUCCGGAAUAGUUCCAUACAUGCAGUUGUUGUGAAAAUCACUACAAAUCGAAAGAGAGAAAUUCAUUAGAAUCUUGAAAAUUAAUUAUUAGAUCAAUGCAACUGUUUACGGAACAUUUGAAUAUAUAAUUACAUACAACUCACAUUUUCUGCAGCUCAUCCAUGGACCUAAUGGCGCCCGGAAAUUGGCCAGUCAAGCGUCGGCUGCUGAGAUUCCUGUUUGUUUUUUUCAUUUUCGACAUGAUCAGAAGUUCAAUUAUAUGUAUACAAGUAACUGCAUAUGUAUUGAUCAAAACUGUUUCAUUUCGACAUGUUAAAACUUGGAUCUUACCUGAUAAACUAUACAUUUCGAAAAAUUGAGUAGUAAUGAAACAAAGAGAGAUGGAGAAAAGUUUAUAUACACACUACUUACAAUGAUGUUACAAGACGACCGGUAGGAAGAUUACUACAGUUAUACCAGUCCCCGUUACGUUUACACCAGUUACCGUCAGAAGGAUCACCUUUCAAGCGUUUUAGUCCUUCUUGCACUAGUUCUUUUAGCAGUUCAGCUAGCUUUUUCGCUGAAUCAAUUAUGACGCACAAAAGUAUUAUAUACCAGAUGAAAUAAUGAAUGUCGAAGAUACAAAUACACGUGUUAAUUGAUUAAAUGAAAUGGGAUUAAGGAGUAGAAAAAUAAUUAACCAUAUUCAAGGUUUGGGAGUAGACGCCGAGUGGUAGUAUAUAAUUCAUAGGCAUCGACGAGAGGAGGCAAGGAUGAGGACUGAGCAUACUUAUCCAUCCUCUUAUCGAAAGGAGUGGUUGUUUCCUUCCACUCCACAGUAUACAUGAAUUCAACAUCAACUUCUUUAUCCUCUGAAAGGUCAGCCAGUGCAUUUGGAUCUGUUCGAACAUUGACUUCAAUCACGCGGUCCUUGUUAUAAUAGAGAUCAAAAUGAAUGUGCUUAUAAAGGUAGGUCUUGUACUCGCUCGGGGGGUCUUUGCCUUCCUUGUCAACCUUCCCUAUGAAACCCCAAAUGGGCAAGUCAUCAUAAUACAUCUGGAAGUAAUAGUCCUUGUUGACAGCAGAUCUGAACCGGCCUACUUCUUCCUUUGUGAGUGUUUUCUUGCAAGCUACUUCGGGAUCUUUAUGCCUUAGGAACUCAAGUUUGUAAGGAGCACUGACUAAACGAUCCCCAUUCAAUACUUCACCAAGAGCUUCCCCCUUCUCUGUCACCGCAUCUGCAAUUAGGAUCCAAAUAAUUAGGUAAAUUCAAUUCGUCGGAGAACAUGAACACGUAUUGUGAAGGAAGUAAAUAUGAAAGAAACGAAUCGAUUUGUUGAUACAAACCUGGUGAGCAGAAUGGGAGAUCAAAGUAUCCGUACGCUUCACUGGAAGCACCCCAAAAAAACAAAAAACAAAAAGAACAAAAAUUUAGACAAUCAGGAACACCAAAUUUCCACCACAAUCAAACUAACAUACAAUUUAUUAUCUGGGGUGGAGUGCUGGGGUUUUACCUGGGGUUGUGAAACGGGCCAACCUUGUUGGCAUACAGAGGGACAAAAUCUCCUUCCUUGUACCGAUGAUCCGACCCGUCGGACCUGACUAGAUCCGCACCGGACAGAAUUAGCAAGGCGAUGAUGCAAUGUACUCCCACCGCCAUGGUCUUCCCCAUUCUCUCUCUCUCUAAUCUCUGGAGAGACAAGACAACCACGUUCAGUAUAUCUUAUCUAUCUACAUACCUAUCUUAUAUAUAUAUAAAGCCAAUGGAAAAGUGCACAGUGCAAAACAGUCCACAUAUUUCUGGAGAGACAAGACAACCACGUUCAGUAUAUUUUAUAUAUAUAAAACCCAGUGGAAUGGCACUGUUCAUCAUGUGAGAGAGCACACCGUUUACCAACAGUGAAAGGACGGAACCGCCUUUGGUUUCUGCUUGGGUCCCGUACCGUUCACACUUUGCUACAAUCAAAAAUCCGUUUUGUCCUCUGUCUCUCGUCAGAAUGUACUGCCCUCUGUGCUACAUUCGAAGCCUAUGAAAAAACAACCAAAAGAAAAAAUGCGAAGACCCAUUCCUCGAACAGAGAUAAUAAAUGCGAAGAUCCAUUCCUCAAAAAGAUAGAGGACAAGAGGGAUGCCACAGUUGCGUGAUGGAAGCAACGAAGGGCCAUUCGAAAAAGAGAUAAUAAAUGUGAUGUUGGGGGGGGGUGGGGAAGCAAUGUUCAUCUUGUGUUCUUGGUUUUUUAAACUCACAUGCAGCAUUUGUGGGGCAGAAAAGAUGAAACAAUAAUUGAAAAACUGACGGGAUGGACAAAAAAAAUAUUUAAAAAAUAAGAGUUAAACCAGGCCACAUGUUUGUGGCACAGCAAACAAUAAAAAAUUAUAAAAAAAUUGAAUACAUGCAAAAACAAUUAUUAACAAUUGUGAGAAGCCGUGAUUUUUUUUUAAAAAAAUUUUAACGAAAAAUUUGCGAUACUGUUCAUUUUAACGAAAAACCACAUUUUUACACUAAAAGUCAAUCAUGAUACUAUUCACUUUAUCUUUUAUUUUAUCUUUAUUAUUAAAACUCAAAGUUUCCAAACUUUUUUCAUUAGUUUUUUUUUUUUUUACUGUUAUUCUAACUCAAACUCUAGGUUGGCCUGCUGUCUCUCAUUACUUUGCCUCUGGUUAUUUUAUUUUAUUGGUUUUGCUCUGUUUUUCAAAUUUGCAGUAUUAUUUUGAGGACGGAUAUAAUUUGGUCAAAUUCAUCAUGCUGGUGUAACAAGCAGGCCUAUUUGUUAAUCUCCAGAUUGGCCCUUAUGUUUGCGCUAAAUGGAACCUCAGGUAAUUAUUUUUGUUAAGAAUAUUUUUUUGUGUUUUUCUGUUUCUGAAACAAAGGAUUCCAGUUUGGCCGAAAUAUGUCUCCGGAAUCGCUUUUUAAAGGACAAUGAGCCUUUCAAGUUAGGAUAUUAUAAAUCUUCCGUUACUCCAAUGCAAUUUAAUUUUUUUAAUAAAUAAUUUUAAAGCUAACUUUAACUGGUCGGGUUUUCUUAGUAAUUUAUGUGAAACAAUGUUAGAAUUGCUUUUAGGUGAUGGAAAAAACUUUUUAGUCAUUUUAUAAGCAAAUCUCAAACAUGACGCCAAUCUUUUAACUUAAUAAUCUAUUUGUUACUAACUUUUUCCUUCUUCAUUCAAUCAUGUAGAAAGAAAGAUGCGAUCCAAGCUACCGUCCAAGAAAUAGAUUAUAAUUUAUUGACGAUAUGUGCUUAUCAACAGUUUUUAAACAUUUUAAAGAAAUCUUACAAAGCUAAUUGGCAAAUUGCAAGAUAUUUUGAAAUACAAUACUGUAGUACAACCUUUGAAAAAAAAAAGGUUGCCAAUGAAAGAUUUGAGACCAAUAGUUAAAUUUGUAUUGAAAAUAUGAGGUACAAAGUAUAAUAAAGCAUUUAUAAAAGGACGAUUACCCUUUUUUUUAAUACAUUUUUAAAGAUCUUAUAAAUCUUUUCCUACAUCCAUGCAUUUGUUUCUCAGUUCACAAUUCAGCAGAAUGAGAGUAUAUUUAUGUUUGCAAUAAGACGUGAAUUCUAACCUUUAUUCAUAUUUGCAGGCUAAGAGUUGUGGUAGAAGAGUUUAUUGUGGUUAGCUUAGAGUAAUAUGUGAGAUUAGCAAUUUGAAGAGUACUUUCUCCUCGUAUGUUUGCUUUGACAUUUGUAAAUCGUAAUUUUUAUUUAUCUCUUCAUGGCGUACUUAAAUUUUUAGAUCAGUAUAUGUAUUUGUUUUUGACAUUUCUUAUUAUAUGUAUUAGAAAACUGACCGAAGAAAGUUUCCAAUUUUAUUAUCUAGUCUAGCAAAAACAGAGUUAAGCUUCGAAGAACAAUACACAUGCAAUUUCAACGAAAACAAAACACAGGUUGACUAAAGAACUUGAUGGCAAAUGACUAAGAACCCAAAUCAAAUCUUUCAAAAACAGAUCAAGCUCUGAUAUUUACGCAUAGCCAAUGAAAAUUCAAUUUCCAAAUCACAAUGUCUAGCUUAUACGAGUUGAACCAGAACUUGUAAAGCAUGCAAAUUUUCUCAGUAACCAAACAAAUGGGUGGGAAUAAACUCAGAUACAUAACGAUUAACAGUGAAAUGAACAAACCCAGAAGCUGAACUGAGCUAAGAAAGCAUGGAACUUUGAGAUCGAGCAGGGUGGAGUGCUGGGGUUUUACCUGGGGUUGUGAAACGGGCCGACCUUGUUGGCAUACAGAGGGACAAAAUCUCCUUCCUUGUACCGAUGAUCCGACCCGUCGGACCUGACUAGAUCCGCACCGGACAGAAUUUGCAAGGCGAUGAUGCAAUGUACUCCCACCGCCAUGGUCUUCCCCAUUCUCUCUCUUUCUCUCCCUAAUCUCUGGAGAGACAAGACAACCACGUUCAGUAUAUCUUAUCUAUCUAUAUAUAUAUAUAUAUAUACACACACAUGUAUAUGUAUAUGUAUCUUCUAUAUCUUAUAUUAAAAAAUUUACAAUGAUUUUUAACUGCACAAUAUACGAUAAACGGAUCUAAUUGAAGGAUUUCCAAAAUUCUCAUAAGAUCCAGAGAGGUAGGAUCCGGAGAGGAUCCUCGUUCAUAGGAGUCAAUCCCAGACCCCAACGCUUUAAUGUAAAAUAUGGUGAUAUAUGAUAAAAAAAAUAAAAUAAACAGAAGAGUGUUGCAAAGUUGAAUUAGUCUACCAAAUCACAAUAUCCCGGCAUGGCGAUGGCACCAUACCGCUUUAAUUCUUCUUGCAAGAGAAAUGGAAUGAAGCACCUAUACAAACUACAAUUUAUUUAGUUUCAUAGUGAGCAUGGCGGUUGACUAUCAAACUAGGCAAACUUUUUAAUAGGUACCGAACAUAUAAAAAAGAAUUAUGCCACCGAGUAUCAUCUGUAGCUUGUCAGUACCGCAUUCCUUGCCUCCUGAAGGAGAAGGGGGUAGUAGCCCUGCAUUCUCGGUCACGCUGACGAAACAGUUUGAAAAAAAAACGCCUCGUUUGGCACACCGUAUAGAGCACCGGUUGUUUGGUGCCCUCCUGUAUUAAAUAGUCACCGGAUUAAUUUAGUCAGUCUGCCUAUUUAGUAGGGUAUACACCUGCAUAAUAAACCCUUCCAAAAGGAGUGGAUUAUUAGUCUGGUUCCCUUCCCUCUCUUUCGCACUUCGUUCUCCAAGACACCUCCUCUCACCGACGUUGUUCUCCCCGUCUUCGUUCUUGUCGGCACCGCAAACACCUAUGACCGCCACGUCCUCCUCUGCUACAAGAGCCCCGAGGCCUAGCCGUAGCGCGUCGAAGGCUCUGAGUCCUAGCCAUCACACAUCUUCCUUUGGGCUUCUUCUACAACUGGGGAGAGAUUCUUGACUGAAAUUGUAAGGGAAGAAGAAGAAGGAAGAGGGCGGGACGGAUUUUGGGGUUGCGGCGGAGAGAUCUGGGGAACAAAAGAGAUGAUUUCAUUUCUUCUGCAAUUGGGUCUUGCAAAGAAACAUGGAGUAUUUGCAGAGGUUCUUGACUGAAAUUGCAGGGGAAGAAGAAGAAGAAGGGAGAGAGGGAGGGAGUUUGGGGGGUGCGGCGGAGAGAUGGGGAACAAAAAUGAUGAUUUUUUUUUUUAAAUUUUAAUUUUAUUUUAUUUUAUUUAAAUAAAGGAAUAUUUUGUUUGAAUUCCUCAUAUCCGGUAUAAUACCAAACACACUAUAAAUAAUACGGUUAUUAAUCCGAUACUGCACCAAACGCCCGACUAAUUUAGUUAGUACUAUCUGGUGGCUAUUUAUCCUAUCUGAUAGAAAUAAACAGUACAGUUCGAGCUGCCAAACAAGGCCAUAGCCUUUUAGGAAACGUUACGUUAAAGAUAAUGGAACUAACAGAUUUCUAGAAACAUCAAAUCAAAUAAAGAACUGAAACAUAUGAAGUAGGUCGAGAAACGUUUCACUUACUCUAACGUAAGGUUUUCGUUAUUUGAAAGAGAGGUAGGUGUGGAUCCAGUGAGUCUGUUCCCUGACAAAUCCCUGAGAAGAAUUUGAAAAACAAAAGACAGGUGUUAUCGAAUCCGGCCCUAUAGUGCUAGCUACUACGGUUGUUUAAAUCAUUUAAAUCAUGAAACUCACAGUAGUUCUAGAUUAGGUAAGGAGCCAAGGAAAUCCGGAAUAGGUCCAUUCAAGCUGUUGUUGUGAAAAUCACUAUAAAUCGAAAGAGAGAAAUUCAUUAGAAUCUUAAAAAUUAAUUAUUAGAUCAAUGCAAUUGUUUACGGAACAUUUGAAUAUAUAAUUACAUACAACUCACAUUUCCAGCAGCGCAUCCAUGGAUCCAAAGUCUGGAAUUGGGCCAGACAAGCGUUGGCUGCUGAGAUUCCUGUAUGUUUUUUCAUUUUCGACAUGAUCAGAAGUUCAAUUAUAUGUAUAUAAGUAACUGCAUAUGUAUUGAUCAAAACUGUUUCAUUUCGACAUGAUAAAACUUGGAUUUUACCUGAUAAACUAUACAUUUAGAAAAAUUGGGUAGUAAACAAAGAAAGAUGGAGAAAAGUUUAUAUAUACACUACUUACGAUGAUGUUACACGACGACCGGUAGUAAAAUUAGUACAUUCAUACCAGUUCACUACUAACGAGGCUGAAAGACCAAGGAUCACCAUUAAGUUUAUCUUGCGUAUCAUAUCCUCUUUCCAGUCCUUCAAAUACACUUCCCAGUUUUUCUAGCCCUUCCACUGAAUCAAUUAUGAGGCACAAAAAUAUUAUAUAUCAGAUGAAAUAAUGAAUGUCGAAGAUACAAAUACACAUGUUAAUUGAUUAAAUGAAAUGGGAUUAAGGAGUAGAAAAAUAAUUAACCAUCUUUAGGGUUGGUGAUUAGAGGUCUAGUGAUAGUAUAUAAUUCAUAGGCAUUGACGAGAGGAGGCAAGGAUGAGGACUGAGAAUACUUAUCCAUCCUCUUAUCGAAAGGAGUGGUUGUUUCCUUCCACUCCACAGUAUACAUGAAUUCAACAUCAACUUCUUUAUCCUCAGUAAGGUCAACCAGUGCAUUUGGAUCUGUUCGAAUAUUGACUUCAAUCACGCGUUCUUUGUUAUAAUAGAGAUCAAAAUGAAUGUGCUCAUAAAGGUAGGUCUUGUACUCGCUCGGGUCUUUGCCUUCCUUGUCAACCUUCCCUAUGAAACCCCAAGUGGGCAAGUCAUCAUAAUACAUCUGGAAGUAAUAGUCCUUGUUGACAGCAGAUCUGAACCGGGCUACUUCUUCCUUUGUGAGUGUUUUCUUGCAAGCUACUUCGGUAUCUUUAUGCCUUAGGAACUCAAGUUUGUAAGGGGCACUGACUAAACGAUCCCCAUUCAAUGCUUCACCAAGAGC